CCAGGAAAGGACACUAGAAGAUAUAAGUUUGCAAGUUAAUGGAAACAAAUAUGGAGAGAAAAAAUUCCCAAAGUGAGCAGCUUUCCUCUGACAUGCCCUUCUGCCAUGAUGUUCCACUAUCACUUUAGGUCCAGCGCAAUGGAGUUGCCAUGAUGGACUGAACCUCUGAAACUCAUCUUCUUCACGAAUCUGGAUGCACACUGCUGAUUCUGAGUGAGGGGAACCUUGGGCUUGUUAGAGCAGUGGCUUUGAGAAGCUCUUAUAAUACAGGACUCCAGGACUGGUCUUGGGAGACCGGCACCACCCCAGUGAUGGACCUAUCUUGAAUGUAUGCAUUUUCUGGAGCAAGACUUCAAAAGAAGCCACAGGAAACAGCUUGGGAGAAAAUCCACAAGGUCAAAGGACAAAUGUUCAAGCAGUCACUUAAUGGCUACUAAACUAAUAAACACUUACAACCAA